rnacentral:rRNA from 1 species
UACAGAGGGUGCGAGCGUUAAUCGGAAUUACUGGGCGUAAAGCGCGCGUAGGCGGCUCUGCAAGUCGGGUGUGAAAUCCCCAGGCUUAACCUGGGAACUGCAUUCGAGACUGCAUUGCUAGAGUAUGGGAGAGGGAAGUGGAAUUUCCGGUGUAGCGGUGAAAUGCGUAGAUAUCGGAAGGAACAUCAGUGGCGAAAGCGCUCUACUGGACCGCAACUGACACUCAGGGACGAAAGCUAGGGGAGCGAAUGGG